GUGGCACUCAAACUGUGGGGGCACUUUCUCCCAUGUACGAAAGUGCUGCUACUUUUUGAGUGUUAC
rfam:Loxodonta africana unplaced genomic scaffold scaffold_4, whole genome shotgun sequence.